rnacentral:lncRNA from 1 species
GGAGUCAUUCUUAAACUAAAAAUAGAAUUGCUCAUGGUAAACUGCUUUGCAAAAUGAAGUAACCCAGGUUUAGGCCUGAAAAGUCCUGUUCUGUACUUUAGCAGUAACCAGAAGAGGACGCAGCCUGUUCUCCACAGCUGGGCACACACCAGUACUUCAGAUGCCUCACAUAGGCUAAGGGGCAGCAAACAGGAAGAUGCCCUGCAUCUGCUCCAGCUGUGUCUGCCAGAAUGCUGGACCUGAAUGGCCCACGAGGGCUGGAGAACAAAAUGCCUUUAAAGUGCAAGACACCCUUAAACAAUAUGAAAACCAGCAUGGAGGUGCCUCACAAGACUAGGAAGGGUGUCACCACAUGACCAAAAUAUGCCACUUCUCAGCAUUUAUCCUAGAGAGGAUAAUUAAAGUUGGCAUGCUCUAGUGAGACAUGCAUACCCAUGUUUUAGCAGCACAAUUCACAAUAAUCAAAAUAUAGAACCUGCCUAGGUGUUUGUCAGUGGCUGAAAGGCUCAAGAAAAUGUGCUCUAUCUACACAGAGGUUCUAGUCAGCCAUAGAAAAGCAUGCAGUUGUGCCAUUUGCAGAAACAUGGAUGGAACUUGAGAGCAUUAUGUUAAGACAAAUAAGCCAAACACAGAAGGUCAAGAGUGGUGUGUUUACUUUCAUAUGCAGCAGCUAGAGAGGAAAGAGAAAUAGAAAGUGGGGGUAAAGAUCUCAUGAAAAUCAAAAGGCGUUCAGUAGAGGAAAGGGACCAGGUGGAAGGGUGCUAGGAGGGGAAAGUGCUGGGGAGGAUACUGGCCUAAUUAUGUAGCUCCCACUGCCCCAUUGUGGGAAGUAUAAUGUAAUACAAAAAGUAUUAAACAUGUAAAAAGUUUGAACUUGAUCACUUUUCUGAAACUGAACUCUGGGUGUGAAAUCAGCUUUCCCAUUAAGGAACAGAAAUUAACAGUUCCCACCAGACGCCUGCCUAUGUGCUGUCCAGCUGCUGACCCUCCUAAAAUGUGGGCAGUUUUGUUAGCUCUCUUUCAGUCUGUGACUGAAGUUCACCCAGCGUUCAUGAGAUUAAUCCCUGUGAUUGCAGGCAGUAUUAGAACAUUCUGCAUAUUAUGUAAACAUGUCUCACGUGUUGCUAUGGUAGCAGGUGCAAAUAUCCAUGAGAGACACAUCUCUGAGUCAAGCAAAGGUUUAUUGACAGAGGAUAUCUCUCAGGCUGCCCUUGGCAAGGCGCAACAGUCUGCUAGAACAAACUUCCUAAGUAUAUAUUCAUGUAUAUGGAGUAAUAAAAAAU